CCUACGGGAGGCAGCAGUGGGGAAUAUUGCACAAUGGGCGCAAGCCUGAUGCAGCGACGCCGCGUGAGGGAUGACGGCCUUCGGGUUGUAAACCUCUUUCAGUAGGGAAGAAGCGAAAGUGACGGUACCUGCAGAAGAAGCGCCGGCUAACUACGUGCCAGCAGCCGCGGUAAUACGUAGGGCGCAAGCGUUAUCCGGAAUUAUUGGGCGUAAAGAGCUCGUAGGCGGUUUGUCGCGUCUGCCGUGAAAGUCCGGGGCUCAACUCCGGAUCUGCGGUGGGUACGGGCAGACUAGAGUGAUGUAGGGGAGACUGGAAUUCCUGGUGUAGCGGUGAAAUGCGCAGAUAUCAGGAGGAACACCGAUGGCGAAGGCAGGUCUCUGGGCAUUAACUGACGCUGAGGAGCGAAAGCAUGGGGAGCGAACAGGAUUAGAUACCCUGGUAGUCCAUGCCGUAAACGUUGGGCACUAGGUGUGGGGGACAUUCCACGUUUUCCGCGCCGUAGCUAACGCAUUAAGUGCCCCGCCUGGGGAGUACGGCCGCAAGGCUAAACUUAAAUGAAUUGACGG
rnacentral:rRNA from 1 species